GGGAAUGUGGCUCAGUGGUAGAGUGCUUGCCUAGUAUGCAUGAAGCCCUGGAUUCGAUUUCUCAGUACCA
rfam:Dipodomys ordii ctg_broad_rename0003778, whole genome shotgun sequence.